CAGAUAUCCCAGCAUUAGUAAAUCAGAUUAAAGAACUGAAAUAUACACCCCCCAGAAGUGGACUCACAGUACUGGUGGCAGAAGGAUCAGGACCUUCCUGGCGGGGAGCAGGUGUCUCAGACAUCGCGGUAUCACUGAGGAGGUGGAGGGGUGGGGGGUUCUUAA